rnacentral:rRNA from 1 species
UACGGGGGGGGCAAGCGUUGUUCGGAAUUACUGGGCGUAAAGGGCUCGUAGGUGGCCAACUAAGUCAGACGUGAAAUCCCCAGGCUUAACCUGGGAACUGCGUCUGAUACUGGAUGGCUUGAAUUCGGGAGAGGGAUGCAGAAUUCCAGGUGUAGCGGUGAAAUGCGUAGAUAUCUGGAGGAAUACCGGUGGCGAAGGCGGCAUCCUGGACCGACAUUGACGCUGAGGAGCGAAAGCUAGGGGAGCAAACGGG